AACGAACGCUGGCGGCAGGCCUAACACAUGCAAGUCGAACGAGAAAUCACCCUUCGGGGUGAGAGUAGAGUGGCGCACGGGUGAGUAACGCGUGGGAACCUACCUAGGGGUACGGAAUAACUCAGGGAAACUUGGGCUAAUACCGUAUACGUCCUCCGGGAGAAAGAUUUAUCGCCCUUGGAUGGGCCCGCGUUAGAUUAGCUAGUUGGUGGGGUAAAGGCCUACCAAGGCUACGAUCUAUAGCUGGUUUGAGAGGAUGAUCAGCCACACUGGAACUGAGACACGGUCCAGACUCCUACGGGAGGCAGCAGUGGGGAAUAUUAGGCAAUGGGGGAAACCCUGACCUAGCCAUGCCGCGUGCGUGAAGAAGGUCUUAGGAUUGUAAAGCGCUUUCAGCGGGGAAGAUGAUGACGGUACCCGCAGAAGAAGCCCCGGCUAACUCCGUG
rnacentral:rRNA from 1 species